rnacentral:rRNA from 1 species
CGGGGUGAGUAAUGCUUGGGAAUCUAGCUUAUGGAGGGGGAUAACUACGGGAAACUGUAGCUAAUACCGCGUAAUAUCGAAAGAUUAAAGUGUGGGACCUUCAGGCCACAUGCCAUAGGAUGAGCCCAAGUGGGAUUAGGUAGUUGGUGAGGUAAAGGCUCACCAAGCCGACGAUCUCUAGCUGGUCUGAGAGGAUGACCAGCCACACUGGGACUGAGACACGGCCCAG